rnacentral:rRNA from 1 species
GUAACGCGUGGGGACCUACCUCUUAGUGGGGGAUAACGGUUGGAAACGACCGCUAAUACCGCAUACGCCCUUCGGGGGAAAGAUUUAUCGCUAAGGGAUGGACCCGCGUUGGAUUAGAUAGUUGGUGAGGUAACGGCUCACCAAGUCAGCGAUCCAUAGCUGGUUUGAGAGGAUGAUCAGCCACACUGGGACUGAGACACGGCCCAGACUCCUACGGGAGGCAGCAGUGGGGAAUAUUGGACAAUGGGGGCAACCCUGAUCCAGCCAUGCCGCGUGAGUGAAGAAGGCCUUCGGGUUGUAAAGCUCUUUCAGAUGCGAAGAUGAUGACGGUAACAUCAGAAGAAGCCCCGGCUAAUUUCGUGCCAGCAGCCGCGGUAAUACGAAAGGGGCUAGCGUUGUUCGGAUUUACUGGGCGUAAAGGGCACGCAGGCGGUCUUGCCAGUCAGGGGUGAAAGCCCGAGGCUCAACCUCGGAACUGCCUCUGAUACUGUAAGACUUGAGACUAGGAGAGGGUGGUGGAAUUCCCAGUGUAGAGGUGAAAUUCGUAGAU